GUUGUGGCUCAGUGGUAGAAUGCUUGCCCCACAUGCGUGGGGCACUGGGUUUGAUCCUCAGCACCACA
rnacentral:tRNA from 1 species